rnacentral:rRNA from 1 species
UUAAGUUAUUAAGGGCGCACGGUGGAUGCCUUGGCACUAGAAGCCGAUGAAGGACGUUACUAACGACGAUAUGCUUUGGGGAGCUGUAAGUAAGCUUUGAUCCAGAGAUUUCCGAAUGGGGAAACCCAACAUGAGUUAUGUCAUGUUAUCGAUAUGUGAAUACAUAGCAUAUCAGAAGGCACACCCGGAGAACUGAAACAUCUUAGUACCCGGAGGAAGAGAAAGAAAAAUCGAUUCCCUUAGUAGCGGCGAGCGAAACGGGAAGAGCCCAAACCAACAAGCUUGCUUGUUGGGGUUGUAGGACACUCUAUACGGAGUUACAAAGGACGACAUUAGACGAAUCAUCUGGAAAGAUGAAUCAAAGAAGGUAAUAAUCCUGUAGUCGAAAAUGUUGUCUCUCUUGAGUGGAUCCUGAGUACGACGGAGCACGUGAAAUUCCGUCGGAAUCUGGGAGGACCAUCUCCUAAGGCUAAAUACUCUCUAGUGACCGAUAGUGAACCAGUACCGUGAGGGAAAGGUGAAAAGCACCCCGGAAGGGGAGUGAAAUAGAACCUGAAACCGUGUGCUUACAAGUAGUCAGAGCCCGUUAAUGGGUGAUGGCGUGCCUUUUGUAGAAUGAACCGGCGAGUUACGAUUUGAUGCAAGGUUAAGCAGUAAAUGUGGAGCCGUAGCGAAAGCGAGUCUGAAUAGGGCGUUUAGUAUUUGGUCGUAGACCCGAAACCAGGUGAUCUACCCUUGGUCAGGUUGAAGUUCAGGUAACACUGAAUGGAGGACCGAACCGACUUACGUUGAAAAGUGAGCGGAUGAACUGAGGGUAGCGGAGAAAUUCCAAUCGAACCUGGAGAUAGCUGGUUCUCUCCGAAAUAGCUUUAGGGCUAGCCUCAAGUGAUGAUUAUUGGAGGUAGAGCACUGUUUGGACGAGGGGCCCCUCUCGGGUUACCGAAUUCAGACAAACUCCGAAUGCCAAUUAAUUUAACUUGGGAGUCAGAACAUGGGUGAUAAGGUCCGUGUUCGAAAGGGAAACAGCCCAGACCACCAGCUAAGGUCCCAAAAUAUAUGUUAAGUGGAAAAGGAUGUGGCGUUGCCCAGACAACUAGGAUGUUGGCUUAGAAGCAGCCAUCAUUUAAAGAGUGCGUAAUAGCUCACUAGUCGAGUGACACUGCGCCGAAAAUGUACCGGGGCUAAACAUAUUACCGAAGCUGUGGAUUGUCCUUUGGACAAUGGUAGGAGAGCGUUCUAAGGGCGUUGAAGCAUGAUCGUAAGGACAUGUGGAGCGCUUAGAAGUGAGAAUGCCGGUGUGAGUAACGAAAGACGGGUGAGAAUCCCGUCCACCGAUUGACUAAGGUUUCCAGAGGAAGGCUCGUCCGCUCUGGGUUAGUCGGGUCCUAAGCUGAGGCCGACAGGCGUAGGCGAUGGAUAACAGGUUGAUAUUCCUGUACCACCUAUAAUCGUUUUAAUCGAUGGGGGGACGCAGUAGGAUAGGCGAAGCGUGCGAUUGGAUUGCACGUCUAAGCAGUAAGGCUGAGUAUUAGGCAAAUCCGGUACUCGUUAAGGCUGAGCUGUGAUGGGGAGAAGACAUUGUGUCUUCGAGUCGUUGAUUUCACACUGCCGAGAAAAGCCUCUAGAUAGAAAAUAGGUGCCCGUACCGCAAACCGACACAGGUAGUCAAGAUGAGAAUUCUAAGGUGAGCGAGCGAACUCUCGUUAAGGAACUCGGCAAAAUGACCCCGUAACUUCGGGAAAAGGGGUGCUCUUUAGGGUUAACGCCCAGAAGAGCCGCAGUGAAUAGGCCCAAGCGACUGUUUAUCAAAAACACAGGUCUCUGCUAAACCGUAAGGUGAUGUAUAGGGGCUGACGCCUGCCCGGUGCUGGAAGGUUAAGAGGAGUGGUUAGCUUCUGCGAAGCUACGAAUCGAAGCCCCAGUAAACGGCGGCCGUAACUAUAACGGUCCUAAGGUAGCGAAAUUCCUUGUCGGGUAAGUUCCGACCCGCACGAAAGGCGUAACGAUUUGGGCACUGUCUCAACGAGAGACUCGGUGAAAUCAUAGUACCUGUGAAGAUGCAGGUUACCCGCGACAGGACGGAAAGACCCCGUGGAGCUUUACUGUAGCCUGAUAUUGAAAUUCGGCACAGCUUGUACAGGAUAGGUAGGAGCCUUUGAAACGUGAGCGCUAGCUUACGUGGAGGCGCUGGUGGGAUACUACCCUAGCUGUGUUGGCUUUCUAACCCGCACCACUUAUCGUGGUGGGAGACAGUGUCAGGCGGGCAGUUUGACUGGGGCGGUCGCCUCCUAAAAGGUAACGGAGGCGCUCAAAGGUUCCCUCAGAAUGGUUGGAAAUCAUUCAUAGAGUGUAAAGGCAUAAGGGAGCUUGACUGCGAGACCUACAAGUCGAGCAGGGUCGAAAGACGGACUUAGUGAUCCGGUGGUUCCGCAUGGAAGGGCCAUCGCUCAACGGAUAAAAGCUACCCCGGGGAUAACAGGCUUAUCUCCCCCAAGAGUUCACAUCGACGGGGAGGUUUGGCACCUCGAUGUCGGCUCAUCGCAUCCUGGGGCUGUAGUCGGUCCCAAGGGUUGGGCUGUUCGCCCAUUAAAGCGGUACGCGAGCUGGGUUCAGAACGUCGUGAGACAGUUCGGUCCCUAUCCGUCGUGGGCGUAGGAAAUUUGAGAGGAGCUGUCCUUAGUACGAGAGGACCGGGAUGGACAUACCUCUGGUGUACCAGUUGUCGUGCCAACGGCAUAGCUGGGUAGCUAUGUGUGGACGGGAUAAGUGCUGAAAGCAUCUAAGCAUGAAGCCCCCCUCAAGAUGAGAUUUCCCAACUUCGGUUAUAAGAUCCCUCAAAGAUGAUGAGGUUAAUAGGUUCGAGGUGGAAGCAUGGUGACAUGUGGAGCUGACGAAUACUAAUCGAUCGAAGACUUAAUCAA